ACCCUGGCUGUGGCAUUUAAAUUCCGAGCGCUCCUCCAUCAAGGUGACGCGCAGCCACCACC
rnacentral:sRNA from 1 species